rfam:Pseudomonas cremoricolorata strain ND07, complete genome.
GUCACAGGUGGCGCGGCACCGGCAACGGUGCAGCGCCGAAGCGCAGUACCUAACGAAGACGGUAAAAAG